UAUUUUCACUGUAGGGUUUUUGAACAGUCUGGCCGGUCUCUGUUUCAUACAGUGGCAAAGCCUAGGGCUUGAUUGGUUUGGUCUCUUUCCAACAGUUCUCACUUCACUGUUUCCACCUGUGCCGAGUGUCUGUCUUUCUCAAGAUUCUUAAAGAGG